rnacentral:rRNA from 1 species
AACGAACGCUGGCGGCAUGCCUAACACAUGCAAGUCGAACGAGACCUCCGUGUCUAUUUGCGCUCGUGUGCGUAACGCGUGGUAACCUGCCCUUAGGUUCGGUAUACUUCCCUUUAGGGUGUGCUAAUAACGGUUAAUCUCUUCCGACCAAAGAUUUAUCGCGUUUGGAUGGGCCUGCGUUGGUUUAGCUAGUUGGUAGGGUAAAAGCCUAGCAAGGCGACGAUGCUUAGCUGGUCUGAGAGGAGGAUCAGCGACACUGGGGCUGAGACACGGACGAGAAUCCUACGGAAGGGAGCAGAGGGGAAUAUAGGACGAGGGGCGAAAGCCUGAUACAGCAAUGCCGGGUGAGUGAUGAAGGCGGUAGGGUAGUAAAGCUGUUUUAGCCGGGAUGAUAAUGACGGUACCGGGAGAAUAAGCUCCGGCUAACUACGUG